AAGUAUAUCUUUGUUAUAUGAUAUAUGCUAGAAUAGAUUUUUAAUAUUUAAAGUUUUUAAAAUUUUUAUUUGCACUAAUUGUUGAAUAAUGCCUAUAUUCUUUAUAGAUUUUCUUUAUCAUCCUUUAGAAAGUACAUUCUGUAUACACACGGGCAUACAAACACACACAGUGUUCCAACACAAUCUAUCAUAUCAACUUGACUGAUACUACAUCAAUUUUUCUAUUAAUAAGCCACAUUAUUUAACUAUACAAUAUAUGUACUAAAGUACAUUCUUGUAGAACUCUUGUUUUCCACUUGUAUUUGUUAAAAUUAUCUCAUAUUGUUCUUCAUGAACUAAUAAAAGAUUUGAGGGAGAAAGAGGAUCUAUACAUUUAAAUCUUACUAUCCAAGAAUAUGAUGUGAUUUGUUCAAGUCUUCUCUUUUGUCUCUGAGUUAAGAUUUAUAAUUUUUGUCUUAUAAAUCUGUGUAUUUCUUAUUAAAUUUAAGGGAAACUCUUAAAAAUG
rnacentral:lncRNA from 1 species